CCUACGGGAGGCUGCAGUGAGGAAUAUUGGGCAAUGGAGGCAACUCUGACCCAGCCAUGCCGCGUGCAGGAUUACGAUCGACAAGAUUUUAAACUGCUUUUAUAAUGGGAAAAUCAUCAAUUUGCGAAUUGAUUUGCUGUUACAUUAUGAAUAAGAAUCGGCUAACUCCGUGCCAGCAGCCGCGGUAAUACGGGGGAUUCAAGCGUUAUCCGGACUUAUUGGGUUUAAAGGGUGCGUAGGCUGAUAAAUCAGUCAGCGGUGAAAUUUACGGGCUUAACUUGUAGCUUGCCGUUGAAACUAUUUAUCUAGAGAUAUUUCGGCGUAUGCGGAAUGUAUCAAGUAGCGGUGAAAUGCAUAGAUAUGCUACAGAACACCAAUCGCGAAGGCAGCAUACGAGGCAUCAUCUGACGCUGAUGCACGAAAGCGUGGGGAUCAAACAGGAUUAGAUACCCCUGUAGUC
rnacentral:rRNA from 1 species